UACGAAGGGGGCUAGCGUUGUUCGGAAUCACUGGGCGUAAAGCGCACGUAGGCGGAUCUUUAAGUCCGGGGUGAAAUCCCGAGGCUCAACCUCGGAACUGCCUUUGAUACUGGGGAUCUCGAGUCCGGGAGAGGUGAGUGGAACUGCGAGUGUAGAGGUGAAAUUCGUAGAUAUUCGCAAGAACACCAGUGGCGAAGGCGGCUCACUGGCCCGUAACUGACGCUGAGGUGCGAAAGCGUGGGGAGCAAACAGG
rnacentral:rRNA from 1 species